UUGUAUUGCAAUGAUGAUAAUUGUUAAUCCUAGCUCAUUAUGAGACCUCUUUUGUGAGAAGGUCAGGGAAAAUACUCUAUCCUAACAGAUAAUCUGAGCUUCGC